GGGUGAGCCCCAAGACCGAGUUUGGGUAACUCUGCUCCAGAGCAACAGUGAACCUUUCUCUCCCGAAGACUGCACUCCAUUGUCUAGAUUUCCUUCUGGGCACAAGAGGGCACCGUUUUCCCGGAGAUAAAUUAUAAUUCUCAAUCGUGCAUUUUACCUCGACGUUUGGCCCGCGAGACAUUCUGUAGGACCGUCGUUAUGGUGCGUUCAUAUAUUUAGACACGUCACAGCACGACACAUGUUGGGUGGCUUUUCCGAACAACUAAAAAGCAAUACAAACUGACAUACAUACAGAGGUGAAUAUGGCGGACGUUUCUGAGAGGACGCUGCAAGUUGCAAUCGCUAUUUCAUUCGCAGUCGGUUUCCUUUCUGGAUGGCAGGCCAACCGAGCGCGGAGGAAGUUCCUGGAUUGGAGAAAGAAACGACUGCAGGAUAAACUCUCAGAAACACAGAAGAAAUUGGACUUGGCAUGAAAGUGAAGUAGGGUGUGUCGUCACCAAAAUACAUGUUCUGCUGUCAGAUCAUGGACUUCCAAUACAAGGAUUGGGAUCGUUGUCACAACCCGCAGAACUGAAGCAAGAUACAAUGACAAGUUUCUGAACAUGUUUUGUGAUUUGGUGACCGUGUUUUGCUGGGUGACAGUGUUUUGCUUCGAGACUACUGCCGUUUUUACGUUUGAAUAAAAGUAUGUUUUGUUACAUCCUGUGUUUUGAA